rnacentral:rRNA from 1 species
UACGUAGGCAGCGAGCGUUGUUCGGAGUUACUGGGCGUAAAGGGUGUGUAGGCGGUUGUUUAAGUUUGGUGUGAAAUCUCCCGGCUCAACUGGGAGGGUGCGCCGAAUACUGAAUGACUAGAGUGCGGGAGAGGUGAGUGGAAUUCCCAGUGUAGAGGUGAAAUUCGUAGAUAUUGGGAAGAACACCAGUGGCGAAGGCGGCUCACUGGCCCGCAACUGACGCUGAGGCGCGAAAGCGUGGGGAGCAAACAGG